rnacentral:rRNA from 1 species
CCCGGUGAGACAAACGAGAGAAGGGAGGAUGACAAUUCAUUAGGGCCCUUGAGAGUAGGUACACACACGUUUUACUGAGCCGGUACAAAGGGUUGCGCCCUCGAGAGACUCAGUUAUCCCAAAAAGCCUGUCUCUCUCCGGAUGGGUGUGUACAACUCGACUCCGUGAAGUCGGAAUCGAUAGUAAUCGUGAAUCAGAAUGUCGCGGGAAUACGUUCCCGGGCCUUUACACACCGCCCGU